GAAAAAUUAUGAGCUUAAAACAGGCCGAGGCACGGCCAUACAUACGGCCUACAUUUCAUAAACGUCACACAUUCAACUAGAAGCUGUAAAAUGCCAAAAGAUUGAGCAAGUGACUGAUAAUGGCACAAAAAAUCCAACCAAACCAACAGAGCAUAACACUAAAAAUUAAUGGAGAAGCUCCAGCGAUAUUUCAAUAUCCAACGACUAACAUAGAAUUCAAUGAAAGUCAAUCUACACGGAGUAAAGAGAAAAGCCCAACAUUAAAUAUGAAACAGCAGCAGAAAUAUAAAUUUUUUGACCGAAGACACACAUCAUUAGAUAAUGAUAUCAGGCAACUUGAUUUGGAUAAAGAACGUGUACAGCUGAUUAUUCCAAUACUUCAGCAACAUAAAAAGAAAAUUGUAAUAAGUGCUUUACAAAAAUAUGUAGAAGAAUGUGGCCUUUUGCAGCAACCAAGUUUAUCCUAUGGGAAUCAAGAACUGAAUACAAAUGAAGUUAAUGGUACACUCGGAUAUAUUAAUGAAAAUCUGCAGGGACAAAUAUGUCAAGGAACCUUUCCAUCCAUAGAUAGUACAAGUUUUAGUUCCCUUCAUGGAGAUUUAAAGACACACACUCAAGACAAGAUACCAAGUUCAUCAUAUGGCAUUCAGGAACUGAAUACAAAUGAAGGUAAUGGUACACUCAGACUAAACUCUAAUGAAAAUCUGCUGAGACAAACAACUUAUCCAGGAACCUUUCCAGCUAUAAAUGGUUCAAGUUUUAGUUCCCUUAAGGGAAAUAUAAAGACACACACUCAAGACAACAUACAAAACAUUGAAGAAAGAAUAAAAAACUCAAUCGAUAAGCUGAAACUUAAUUUUGAGGAACUUUCAGAAAUUGUCAAAAGCCUGCCAAAAGUGUUAGCAGUAGAGCCAACGGAUCUUAACCAUGGAGUAAAUAGUGAAGUGGAUGGAACUCAAGAAUGUUACAUACAAAAUGAUAAAGUAUUAGAACUCUUCAAAGAACUCAUGCUACGGGGUGAAGAAUAUCAUAAGUGUAUACAGACCCUUGCGAAAAAAGUUGACAUUCAAAUAGGGAUAGCUACAAUGCGUAAAAAAAAUGAACAGCUCAGACACAAAGAUACUCAGUUGGCAGAUUUAAGAGAAGAAGUUUCACAAUUACGUGCGAUAAUCAGUAAAAAGCCAACAGAAAGAAGUAACAUUGAACCAAAGCCUCCUUCAUCAUUAAGAUCACCAGAACAGGAAGCACAUCAGAACAGACAUAGAGGUCACAUGCCAAACUCAGUAUAUAAGCGCAAUUUAUUUAGCAAGGUGCCUAAAGAUGGGGAUUGAUGGGAUCCAUUAACAAUCUGAAUUUUAAAUCUGAAUUUCACAGCUAAAUAAAAAACUCAUAGAAGAUCAAAGCCAUGGAACUGCCAAAUUUAGCACCUAAGGGCAAUGUUCUUGGCAUCUCAAAAACAGGGUGUCAAACUUUCUAGAACCUACAGGAAAAUUAACAUCUCGACGAGAUUUGAUUGACAUAUAAACCGAUUAAUCAGCGAGCGUCAUUUAGUCACAUGAUCGAAAACAUUUUCUCGGACAUUUUAAUUUCCUUAGACAGCUGGUAUAAAUGCGAAACAUACAUGAGCCUAGGCCUAGAUGUCUAUGCUUGGUUAUACUGUAGAUACCCAGAUUUACACGAGCAAUGCGCGUCAGUGACUCGGCCUUUGCCGACAACAAGGUUGACUUACUGCGGCUUUUCCUUUGGGAGUGAAAUACAGAGGCUUUUACAACAAUUUCCCCGCCAUGUUCCAUGAAAUAGAUAACACUAUGAAUGUUUGAUUCAUUUUCAUACCGCCUAACCUGAAUUCUCUUUCUUAAAGAUGGUUGAUAGCAAAGAAAAUUUUUGCCAACUUGGUAUGUCGUACAUCACAAUGUAGAAGCUGAAUGACUUACAAUAAGAUAAGGCAAGUCAAUAAAAAAUAAGGACUUUUUAUUCAUUGUAGAUGAAAAUUGAUUAAUGCAAUAAUUUCGAAGACAUACAAGGCUUGCCAUCCCAAAACCAGCAUAUCCUGUCGCUAAAUGUUAAUCUGAGUAAUUACCAUAAGAAUGUGUCAAUAAUUUAUGCUAUAAUGCAAAGAAAUACAAUACAGUAGAGAGAAACGUAAUGCUACUCAUAAAUUUGGAAAUAGUAAGUUGAUUCCAGUAAAUUUAUUCUAUCCCAAAUUUAAUUUUAUAUCCCAAAUUAUUCUAAAGUUUAUAAUAUAAUUAAAAAAGUCAAUUUUCAUUUUGUUGGUCUCCGAUGCUGGUUUUGGGAUUGCAAACCUCAUACUAUGCAGGACUGUUAGAAUGGAUAAGGAUGAAUUUCAGCAUGACUGCCAAUUUAUUUGAUUAAGAACAUUUAAAAUUUAUAAUUAGGGAGCAAGGGUGCUGUAACAGCUACAGCCAUAAUAUCGGGGCUGAU
rnacentral:misc_RNA from 1 species